GGAGUUUGGUCCGUGUCUCAGUACCAAUGUGGGGGACCUUCCUCUCAGAACCCCUACUGAUCGAUGGCUCGGUGGGCCGUUACCCCGCCGACUACCUAAUCAGACGUAUCCCCAUCCUAUAGCGCCAAAGCUUUGCUUCUCGUCAGAUGCCAUCAAAGAAGAACAUAGAGCAUUAAUCCGACUUUCGCCGGGCUAUUCUCUACUAUAGGGAAGGUUGGAUAGGCGUUACUCACCCGUGCGCCGGUCGCCAUCAACAAAAGCAAGCUUUCGUUAUGCUGCCCCUCGACUUGCAUGUGUUAAGCCUGUAGCUAGCGUUCAUC
rnacentral:rRNA from 1 species